GAUGAACGCUGGCGGCGUGCUUAACACAUGCAAGUCGAACGAUGAAAGCGGGAGCUUGCUCCUGCUGGAUUAGUGGCGAACGGGUGAGUAACACGUGAGCAAUCUGCCCCGAACUCUGGGAUAAGCGUUGGAAACGACGUCUAAUACCGGAUACGACGCGCGAAGGCAUCUUCUGCGCGUGGAAAGAACUUCGGUUCGGGAUGAGCUCGCGGCCUAUCAGCUAGUUGGUGAGGUAACGGCCCACCAAGGCGACGACGGGUAGCCGGCCUGAGAGGGCGACCGGCCACACUGGGACUGAGACACGGCCCAGACUCCUACGGGAGGCAGCAGUGGGGAAUAUUGCACAAUGGGCGCAAGCCUGAUGCAGCAACGCCGCGUGAGGGACGACGGCCUUCGGGAUGUAAACCUCUUUUAGUAGGGAAGAAGCGAAAGUGACGGUACCUGCAGAAAAAGCACCGGCUAACUACGUGCCAGCCGCCGCAGUAAAAC
rnacentral:rRNA from 1 species